rnacentral:rRNA from 1 species
UUGCCGGACCUGACUGCUAUCGGAUUGAUACUAAGCCAUGCGAGUCAUUGUAGCAAUACAAGGCAUACGGCUCCGUAACGCGUAGUCAACCUACCCUAUGGACGGGAAUAACCUCGGGAAACUGAGAAUAAUGCCCGAUAGAACAUUAUGCCUGGAAUGGUUUAUGUUCCAAAUGAUUUAUCGCCGUAGGAUGGGACUGCGGCCUAUCAGUUUGUUGGUGAGGUAAUGGCCCACCAAGACUAUUACAGGUACGGGCUCUGAGAGGAGUGGCCCGGAGAUGGGUACUGAGACACGGACCCAGGCCCUAUGGGGCGCAGCAGGCGAGAAAACUUUGCAAUGUGCGAAAGCACGACAAGGUUAAUCCGAGUGGUUUCUGCUAAAGAAACCUUUUGUCAGUCCUAGAAACACUGAUGAAUAAGGGGUGGGCAAGUUCUGGUGU